CGCGGCCUAUCAGCUAGUUGGUGAGGUAAUGGCUCACCAAGGCGACGACGGGUAGCUGGUCUGAGAGGAUGGCCAGCCACAUUGGGACUGAGACACGGUCCAUACACCUACGGGUGGCAGCAGUAGGGAAUAUUGCACAAUGGGCGGAAGCCUGAUGCAGCAACGCCGCGUGCACGAUGAAGGCCUUCGGGUCGUAAAGUGCUUUUCUGAGAGAUGAGAUAGGACAGUAUCUCAGGAAUAAGUCUCGGCUAACUACGUGCCAGCAGCCGCGGUAAAACGUAGGAGGCGAGCGUUAUCCGGAUUCACUGGGCGUAAAGCGCGUGCAGGUGGUUCGGUAAGUUGGGUGUGAAAUCUCCUGGCUUAACUAGGAGAGGUCAUUCAAUACUACCAGACUAGAGAACAGUAGAGGAAGAUGGAAUUCCCGGUGUAGUGGUGAAAUGCGUAGAUAUCGGGAGGAACACCAGUGGCGAAGGCGAUCUUCUGGACUGUUUCUGACACUCAUACGCGAAAGCUAGGGUAGUAAACGGGAUUAGAGACCCCGGUAAUCCU
rnacentral:rRNA from 1 species